rnacentral:lncRNA from 1 species
UAACCCUCUUAUCCCCCCUCUUGUUUCCAUUCCAAACGGGGUGUAAAGUAAUAAAAUUUUAAUUUUAAAUUUUUGAUACUAAUUAUUAAAAUUUUAUCCAAUUAUAUUAGGUAGGCUCACUAAUCAUUCCAAAUGGUUGUGUUUGGUAAUAUGUCAGUUGAUUGAUUGGUACUAUCGAUAGUACUCCUUUGUCGCCCUCCAACAAAGAUGUGCGUUUCCACGUGCGUAUAUGUUCUCUAGCACUUCAAUUAUUGACCAAAAAAUUUCAAUAAUUUCAAUAAAUUUAUUAAAUUUUAAUUUCUUAAAAAUAAAAUACUUAACAACUGAUAACCAGUAUAAUAAUUAAAUUUUAGGGCUAAUUUCAUAUAGCUUCCUGCAAACAUGGUAAAUGUCAAAUAUAUUUCUACAAAGUUCAACUUUUAUAUACUAUAUCUGUAAAAGUUCUGAUAUUUUUAAAUAUAUAUACCUCUGAUUUGUUACCAUUCGAAAACUGUUUAUAUUCUCAAUUUUGUCAUCACAAAUAUAUCACUUCAAAAAUCAUAACAGUAUAGUAUAAAAGAAUAAAAAUAGCAAAAAUUAAGUAGGGUUAAGUAUUUAACCUAUGGUUAACUAAAUUUUUCUAACGUAUUCUAACGGUACGGACAUAUUUGAAAAUAUCAAGACUUUUACAAAAAAAUAUAUAAAAAAUAAAUUUUGUAGAAAUAUAUUUGUUAUUUACUAUGUUUGCAAGAAUCUGUAUGAAAUUAAUCCUAAAUUUUAUUAUAUCCAAGUAAAACAAUUGAAAUAAUAAAAAUAAGAAACUAAAGAAAUAUCGAUAUAAAAAAAAAAAAGCAAAUUUGAGAUUCCCACAGUUGAGGGAUUUCUCUACAAUUUCGGCCUUAUAAGUUAUAAAAGGAAAGCUAAGGUAACGGAUACACACCCAGCCACCAAACAGAAAAAAAAAAAUAAUUUCAAAAAAUGGAGGAAAUAGAGAGUAAGAAAGGCAAAGAGAGAUGGUCUCUCCAUGGAAUGACCGCUCUGGUCACCGGAGGUACCAGAGGAAUUGGGUAACCUCUAGUCUUCGUUUUUUUUUCCUACAUAUUUUAUAUUAACAUAAUUAUUUUUACUAUUAUUUUAUAAAAAUAUAUAAUUUUUAUAUAAUUGAGAAAUAAUAUGCAUGCAUGUACGUACGUACGUAUGUGUGAAGCCGUGCGGUGGUGGAGGAGCUACUGAGCUUUGGGGCGGCGGUGCACACGUGCACACUGGACGAAGCGGAGCUGCGGUCGUGCGUAGAGCGGUGGAAGGGGAUGGGUUACCUGCGAGUGACCGGAUCCGUCUAUGAUGUGUCGUCGCGGGAGCAGCGCGAGCAGCUCAUGAAGGAGGUGGCCUCCCUCUUCUCCGGAAAACUCAACAUACCCGUGAGUCUCAUCAUUUUUUUUUUUUUAAGUAAGUUUCAAAUACUAUCCUUGUGGCUUCGCACUUUCUUAUUUUAGUACCAUAUAUAUAUAUAUAUGUGUGUGUGUGUGUGUUUUAAAGUGUAUCAAUUUAGUACCUCUUGAUUUCCAGCUCAGCUCCUUCAUUAAUAUUUCGUUAAAUUAUAUGCAAAAAAUUUCAAAUACCCUUUCCAGAUUUAUUGAAUAUUUACUUUAAUAUUUUUUAGUUUGAACUUUGUCACUGAUUUAACGAAAAAAAAUUAGUAGAUCGACGUGAUAAUAAACAGAGAAAAUUUAAAUUAUAAGAUACUAAAUUGAUACAUUUUAAAUCACUUAGUACAAUAAUAAAAAAGUACAAAACCACAUAGAUUGUAUUUGAAGUUUUUUUUUUUUCCUUUCUUUUUCCUUUUUUUUUUUCCCAAGCUAUAUAUGUGGGUCACCUUGUAAUUAAGUACUACAUGUUUUUAGAAUUGAAUCCUGUUCUCCGAUCAAUCCACAUGUAAUAGGUUAUAGGUUUUCGAAUAGAAAAAUUAGGAUAAUUUCUGGUUUUUAUAUUUAUCCCUAAAAAAAUACUGCAUUUUCAAAUCUAUUUGUUCAAAUUUUAAAAAAAUUUUAAAUAGGCCUUUAACACGUGAAUAUUAGAAAAAUAAAAAACUUCCGAAAGGUAUAUUUGAAAUAUGGGGCUUUUUGUUUAUAUAUUCAUGAUUUUUUUAAAAAAAAUUUAUUUAUCUUCUAUUUUAAAAUAUUUUUUAAAAAUUAAUUAUUUUUUUUAAAAAAAAAUUAAUAAAAUUAUUUUGAUUAACCUUAAAUAUUUAAGAAAUUUUUAAAAAUUUUGAAAGAUAUUCUAUCUAUUAUCCCUUGAAAUAAAGAAUAAAUAUAAAACUCAAUACCUUUUUAUAAAUAUGUCCACAGUUAAUUAUCUUAAGAAAAUUUGGGAUGAGCUAGAAAAAGUGAUUUAUGAAUUAUGAUUGACAUGGUGGUAUCCCUAGCACAAAAGUUUUUGAUCUUAUAUAUUAUUUUUUGAGCAUAGCAAUAUUAUCUCUACGCUUCUAAUAUAGGAGUACAUUUUACACUAGAGCUUUCAAAAGGCUAAAAUUAGAGACUUGUUUUAACAAUUUUUUUAAAUACCUAAAUUUUAACUAUAAUAAAAUGUGCAUAUACUUUUUUUUUCUUUUUUUUCUUUUUUUUGAGAAAUGCUAAACGCAAGUAGAACAACAUGACAAGGCCUCUUUUUUAUUUUUAAAUAUUCAAAUUAUCAACGAAUAAUACUUUUGAUAUUUAUAUGUAAUAUUUUUCUGAUAAUGUACUGUACAUGUCAUUAAUUGAUAUGCAGGUAAACAAUGCAGGAACAGUCAUAGUAAAACCAACUAUAGAGUACAGUGAAGAGGAUACUGCGCACAUAUGGGCCACUAACUUUGAAUCAGGCUAUCAUCUCAGCCAGCUCUCGCAUCCACUCCUGAAGGAGUCAGGACGCGGCUCGAUCGUUUUCACCUCUUCUGUCGCCGGUAUCGUCGCUGUACCUUACGGGACCCCUUACGCUGCAACUAAAGGUAAGAGUUGUUAGUUUUUGAAGAAUUUGAACUUAUGAUCUCAUUGUUGUGAUCAUCAAACUUUGCAUUGUAACGCAGGAGCAAUUAACCAGCUGGCGAAGAAUCUGGCAUGUGAGUGGGCCAAGGACAACAUUCGGGCUAACUGUGUCGCUCCUUGGUUUACGAUGACUCCCUUAGUUGCUCCGGUCAGUUGUAGCUUUCUCGCUCAUUCUUUUUUUAUUUUUUAUUUUUUGCUUUUACUUUAUUUUUAUUUUUUUUUAGAUUCCUAGAGGUUGCUGUGCAAACUAGCAUGCAAAUGGAUCUUAGUCAAUGGAGCUCUCAUUCAGACCCACUGAGAAUGAAAUAAUAAUAAUAAGUGGAGGACCCCUCUCCGCACCCUAUCCGCUAAAAGAAUGGAGCAGUAAACAGAGGAUUCCUUUCGUCUCUUGAUUCGCUCCGAUUUAUCAAAAUUUAUAAAAUCCUGUUUUCGUCCCAAACUGCUCUGGAUAGAACAGUAAAUAAGGACAAAGAAUAAUAUAAAUCAACAUGUUCUAAGUCUCUCAUGAUUCCCUAAAGAAUAGGGGGGCUAUAACCAUGAGUUAAAAGGUGUGAUUUGUUGUGUGGGAUUAGAGUUGGACCUUUCCCUGAGAUUGUGGGUUUGAUCAAAACCAGUCCAAAGUACGAAACCCUAUCGGAUCAUUCUUAAACUCAAUUCCUAAUUUUAAAUUAGCAGCAGAUUUUACUACAAAAACUAUUAACUUAUGACACAAUAAAAAGAAAAAAAAAAAAAACUAUGGUGUUCAUAUAUAUGCUUUAGUCCAAAACUCCUAGAACCAUCAUUAAUUGGAGCCAUUUGGAUGACCCGGCUGGAUAUAAAAUAUUAAAAAUACUAUUCUUGAAUAUCUUAAAAAGUUUUAGAGUACUUGGUUAUUUCAGAUAUCUCAUCGUAGCUCUAUUUAUACUCUUCGCAGUAUCUCGACGAGCAGACACUGGCAAAGAUUCGAUCUUGCACGCCGGUCGGGCGAGUUGCGAAGCCCGAGGAGGUGUCAUCAGCGGUGGCAUUCCUUUGCCUCCCGGCAGCUUCUUAUAUCACCGGACAAACUAUCACGGUUGAUGGAGGCAUGACAAUAAAUGGGUUUUUCUUUAAUUAGAAUUUGCCCGCUAAACUUAAUUAAUAUCCAUGAUUAAAUAAGAUGGGGAUUAAUAAGAGCUGAAAAUUGUAUGUUGCUUAUUCUUCAAUAUAUCCAGAUGUUCCCUAACGAAUGUGCUUAUUGCUAUUUUUUUUUAUUUUUUUAUUUGUGUGUGUGUGUGUUUUUGACCUUUUAACAUUGUCGUUAAUUAGCAAUUAUCAAAACCAUUUUAUUGACACUCCCUCAAUUUAAGGUUAAAAAAAAUUAAAAUUGAAAGCUAAAAUAUACUCUCUAUUUUUUUUUUUUGGGAUGUUUGCUUUGUCUCCAUCUUUACAUCAAAUCCAUCAAUAUAAACUUUGUUAAAAGUACAAAUCUUUUUAUGAUAGAGCUUUUUUUUAGGGAUUUAGCAAACUUAUUGACCGCUCGUACCGAUUAAACGAGCUAAUAACAAUGCUGAAUUAUUUUUUUAAAAAAAUAAAAAACUUUAAUGGAUAGACAUGAAAUCCAGUUUGGCACGGUCCGAUUUGUACUACUACUACUACUAACAAGAUGAGGGCUGUGCUGGCUCAUAGGUCUAAAAACGUAAUAGUUUGGUAUAUAUGGCAGGACCUAGAUUUGAAGCCAUGUUGGAUUGAGUCGACCCUGCGUCAAGUUUGGGCCGAAUGAAUAUGAGCCGUACUGGAUUACAUUCCUAAAUACAAUGCACUCUAACCGUCUUGCCUUCGAACAAUCACCGUGGAGCUAUAAAGAUAACAAAUAGACAACGAGAUUUGUUUCUAAACUUGCAUCAAUAUUUCGGUAUGUAUUGACGUGUUGGCCGACUAUUUCGAAUGAAAAUUAAUUUAUUCAGAGCAAAUUUUAGUACUAUGAAAUCAAUGUAGUGGUGACUGCAAGUGGAUGAUGAAUUGCACAAUGCCACAAUGAGUAGAGAUGUCAACGGGUCGGAUUCGAGGCGAAUUUUUAAAAACCUGAACCCGAAUCUGACUCCAAACCCGAGACCCGAACCUGAACCGGAACCCGAAGCCAAACCAGACGGAUUUUAAAAAUCCAUAUCCCAAUCCGAACCUGACUAAAAAUCUGAAACCCGAACCCAAACCCGAAAAUCUGAACCCAAACCAAUUAUUAUUUUUUCAAUAUUUCAAAAUAUAUUAUAUUAUAUGUAAAUUUUUAAAAUACAAAUUCAAAUAUAACAUCAAAUUUAUAUAUAUAUAUAUAAUACAAAAUAAAUUCGGGUUCAGAUUCGGGUCGGUACAGUCAAAUACAUAUCCGUCGGAUUUUUAUUUUUGAUAUCCAUAUCCGAAUCCAUAUCCAUUUAGCAUCGGAUAUAUCCGUUUUAUUCGAGUUCAGGUUCGGAUAAAAUUUCGAACAUCCAUACCCAUUGACAUCCCUAGCAAUGAGCGGAUCCCGUCUACUCGGACUUUGUGCUGGUGAGAGGGAGAAACUGUUGUGUGCACCGGGUGCACCACAUUUGUUGAAUAAGUUAUUAGUUUAAAUUAUAAAAGAGUAUAAUUUUGGAGUAAUAUGAAGAGAGAGAGAGAGAGAGAGAGAGAGAGAGAGAGACAGAGAGAGAGUCAAUUUAGCUAUUGAUCUCCCUAAAAAUGAGAUAUUUUUAUGAGAUCCCAAAAGUUCCGAAGUAUUAUAAACACUAAAAAUGCAUAAUUUUAUUAUUCAGAAUAAUAUUCUCUCAGGUUUUGAAGAGCUCUAAUAUCAGUAAAGCGAAAAAUUUUGAAAUAAAUUCUGAAGUUUCAAACAUGUGACUUAUAAACUAAGCUGAUAGAAAAUAUUUUUUAUAUAUAUAAAUUUGUAGUUAACAUCUUUUGACAAUUCAGUUCAGUGUAAAAGUAAAAUUCUUUAAUUUUACAAAUUUUUCCUUGGAUAUGCUCGAGAAACAUAUAUUAAAUUAAUAGGGCAAUUGUUUAUAUAUCUCUGAAAUUUUUUUUAUUUUCUAAUUUAUCUCUCUUAGAAGACUAAUAUUGAAAAUGCAUUUUUUAAGUUCCAAUCAAUUUGCAAUAUAUCUCUAGAGUUAAAUUCUUUUAAUGAAUUGUUAGUAAUAGCUGUUAUCUCUAUAAAAUUACUAUUUUGUCCUUUUCAAAUAUUUUUUUUAUCGUUAUAAACUUUUCUUAUUUGCUCUUAAAUUAGAGGCAUGAAAAAUAUUUUAAUUUUUAAUUUUUUUCAAAUAUAUCAUUCUACCAUCACCAAUAUUUUUCAUUUGCCUUUAAAUUAAGGGCAAAAUAGCCAUUUUGAUUUUUUUUAACUCUAAUAGAUAUUUAACUCCCUAAUUAACUUAACGGUUAGUAACUGUAGGAAUAUUUUAAAAUAACGGAGAAACAUAUGAGGGAUAUAUUUAAAAGAACAAAAUAUGAAUAAAUGAGAUAUUUUUGAAGUUUUGAGAAGUAUAUAGACAAUUAUCCCUAAAUUAAAUGUAUGAAAUCCUUCAACAACAAACAAUUAUGAGAAUGAGCCCUUUGGCCUUAUUUUAUUUUAUUUUUUCUUAAUUAACACCUCUUAAUUUUAAUUUCAACUCAAUAGUUACUGUUAGGCAAAGUUCUCACUCAGUUUGUCAUAAUAAUACGGAUGGAAAUUUAGUGCUGCGAAAUUUUUUAGAGUAGAGGGCGUAGGCAAUUCAUUGAAAAAUGGUUAUUAAUUAUUAAAUUAGUUCAUUAAUAAAAUAUAUAUAUUCAUAUAAAGAAUAAAAAAAAAUAAGUACUUUCAUAACUAAUUAUGAGAAGACGACGAUGAAGAUGAAGAUGAAGAUUUCGUAACUUAAAAAAGCGAAAAAAAAAAGCAGAUACAUAAAUCGGUCUUUCAAACCUAUACACAAGUUAGUAAAUAAAUCUAGCUCUUAAGAUUUCAAGGCCAAAACUGAAGAACAAGAUAUGACAAAAAUUAUUCGCAAAAUUAACCAACCAUUCAAAACCCAUUCUCGAUCCGGCACUAUCUCAAACCACAUCGAAACCCCUCCACAUCUAGAUCCAUCGAGUUCCAAUUUCAAGGGUGUUCUUAAAAAUUAUAGUACGUAACAAAUAAAUUAGACAAAAUAAACAAAUUGUUAUGAGAAUUAGCCAAAAUUUGACCUAGUGCCUAAAUUUUGGCCAGAGAAUCAACCAAAAUUCAGCCAAAAGACGAGAGAAAACGUAAAUGAAGGUAAAUGAAGAUCGUGAGGAUGUUAGAGAGAGAAAGAAAAGGUGGAAAAUCAUAUGAAAAAGAGAAAAACUAUUGUGGGAUUAUAACGGAUUUUGAUACGUUGAGUGUUCGAUUUUUUAUAAUCAACAUAUAUAAUAAGACUUUGAGGUAGUUUGUACGAAAGAUUGAAUUGCACUAAAUUGAUAAUAAUUUUUAUCUUUCCUCGUAUAAUGCAACGCAAUUUUAUCAUGUUAUCCUUGAAAAAUUAUCUAAUAGCUAAUACUUGAUCAAUGUUCCAGUAUUGCCAUGGAGGUAAAUUAAACUAAGUGAAAACUAUAAGGUACCGUUUGGUUCGGGUAUAAGCAAUAAUUAGCUAUUACAGGGAUAGGUACAAGUAUAGGGAUAAGAAAAAUAAUGUUUGGAUGAAAAUUGGGUUGUUUUCGGGGAUAAGAACAAUUUUAGAUAGUUUUAUAUAGAAAAUGGAGGUAUUAGUGGGGAUAACCGAGAACUACUAUUUUGGGGUAAAAAAUUAGCGUUUAGGUAUAAAGGGGGAUAAGGGUCUAUUUCUAUCCCUAUCCCCUAACCAAACGCUGCCUAAAUUAAUAAAAUUUUAAUUUUAAAUUUUUGAUACUAAUUAUUAAAAUUUUAUCCAAUUAUAUUAGGUAGGCUCGCUAGUCAUUCCAAAUGGUUCUGUUUGGUGAUAUGGCUACGCAGUUGAUUGAUUGGUACUAUUCAUAGUACUCCUUUGUCGCCCUCCAACAAAGUUGUGCGUUUCCACAUGGGUAUACUUUAGCACUUCAAUUAUUGACCAAAAUAUUUCAAUAAUUUCAAUAAAUUUAUUAAAUUUAUUAAAUUUUAAUUUCUUAAAAAAUAAAAUACUUAACAACUGAUAACCAAUAUAAUAGUUAAAUUUAAGGGUUAAUUUCAUAUAGCUCCCUGUAAAUAUAGUGAAUGUCAAAUAUAUUUCUAUAAAAUUUAAUUUUUAUAUUGGUUAUCAGUUGUUAAGUAUUUUAUUUUUUAAGAAAUUAAAAUUUAAUAAAUUUAAUAAAUUUAUUGAAAUUAUUGAAAUAUUUUGGUCAAUAAUUGAAGUGCUAAAGUAUACCCAUGUGGAAACGCACAACUUUGUUGGAGGGCGACAAAGGAGUACUAUGAAUAGUACCAAUCAAUCAACUGCGUAGCCAUAUCACCAAACAGAACCAUUUGGAAUGACUAGCGAGCCUACCUAAUAUAAUUGGAUAAAAUUUUAAUAAUUAGUAUCAAAAAUUUAAAAUUAAAAUUUUAUUAAUUUAGGCAGCGUUUGGUUAGGGGAUAGGGAUAGAAAUAGACCCUUAUCCCCCUUUAUACCUAAACGCUAAUUUUUUACCCCAAAAUAGUAGUUCUCGGUUAUCCCCACUAAUACCUCCAUUUUCUAUAUAAAACUAUCUAAAAUUGUUCUUAUCCCCGAAAACAACCCAAUUUUCAUCCAAACAUUAUUUUUCUUAUCCCUAUACUUGUACCUAUCCCUGUAAUAGCUAAUUAUUGCUUAUACCCGAACCAAACGGUACCUUAUAGUUUUCACUUAGUUUAAUUUACCUCCAUGGCAAUACUGGAACAUUGAUCAAGUAUUAGCUAUUAGAUAAUUUUUCAAGGAUAACAUGAUAAAAUUGCGUUGCAUUAUACGAGGAAAGAUAAAAAUUAUUAUCAAUUUAGUGCAAUUCAAUCUUUCGUACAAACUACCUCAAAGUCUUAUUAUAUAUGUUGAUUAUAAAAAAUCGAACACUCAACGUAUCAAAAUCCGUUAUAAUCCCACAAUAGUUUUUCUCUUUUUCAUAUGAUUUUCCACCUUUUCUUUCUCUCUCUAACAUCCUCACGAUCUUCAUUUACCUUCAUUUACGUUUUCUCUCGUCUUUUGGCUGAAUUUUGGUUGAUUCUCUGGCCAAAAUUUAGGCACUAGGUCAAAUUUUGGCUAAUUCUCAUAACAAUUUGUUUAUUUUGUCUAAUUUAUUUGUUACGUACUAUAAUUUUUAAGAACACCCUUGAAAUUGGAACUCGAUGGAUCUAGAUGUGGAGGGGUUUCGAUGUGGUUUGAGAUAGUGCCGGAUCGAGAAUGGGUUUUGAAUGGUUGGUUAAUUUUGCGAAUAAUUUUUGUCAUAUCUUGUUCUUCAGUUUUGGCCUUGAAAUCUUAAGAGCUAGAUUUAUUUACUAACUUGUGUAUAGGUUUGAAAGACCGAUUUAUGUAUCUGCUUUUUUUUUUCGCUUUUUUAAGUUACGAAAUCUUCAUCUUCAUCUUCAUCGUCGUCUUCUCAUAAUUAGUUAUGAAAGUACUUAUUUUUUUUUAUUCUUUAUAUGAAUAUAUAUAUUUUAUUAAUGAACUAAUUUAAUAAUUAAUAACCAUUUUUCAAUGAAUUGCCUACGCCCUCUACUCUAAAAAAUUUCGCAGCACUAAAUUUCCAUCCGUAUUAUUAUGACAAACUGAGUGAGAACUUUGCCUAACAGUAACUAUUGAGUUGAAAUUAAAAUUAAGAGGUGUUAAUUAAGAAAAAAUAAAAUAAAAUNUUAGAUAUUAUCUAUUUAAUUUCAAAAUAUAUUUUCUUUUUAAGAUAACGGAUUUUAUUUUUCUAUUUAAUUUCAAAAAUUUAUUUCCUAACAGAUUUUAUUUUUCUAUUUAAUUUCAAAAGUAAUUUUUGCAUUAGUGAUUAUUGUUAAUUAUUUAUCAUUUAAAGCAUAUCUUUCUUAAUAGCGUGAUUUAUUAUUUUAAAUUUUUUAGAUACAUAUUUGGCAAUCAUAUAAAAUAUGGCCUAAAAUUAAAAAAUAAUUUUAAAAAAUUAUAACUUUUUCUAAUAAUUAUUAUGUGCAUUUGCACGUACAUUUUACUAGUAUAUAUAUAUAUAUAAAUUUGUAGUUAACGUCUUUUGACAAUUCAGUUCAAUGUAAAAGUAAAAUUCUUUAAUUUUACAAAUUUUUCCUUGGAUAUGCUCGAGAAACAUAUAUUAAAUUAAUAGGGCAAUUGUUUAUAUAUUUCUGAAAUUUUUUUUAUUUUAUAAUUUAUCUCUCUUAGAAGACUAAUAUUGAAAAUGCAUUUUUUAAGUUCCAACCAAUUUUCAAUAUAUCUCUAGAGUUAAAUUCUUUUAAUGAAUUGUUAGUAAUAGCUGUUAUCUCUAUAAAAUUACUAUUUUGCCCUUUCAAAUAUACUCUUUUAUCGUUAUCAAUUUUUCUUAUUUGCUCUUAAAUUAGAGGCAUGAAAAAUAUUUUAAUUUUUAAUUUUUUUCAAAUAUAUCAUUCUACCAUCACCAAUAUUUUUCAUUUGCCUUUAAAUUAAGGGCAAAAUAGCAAUUUUGAUUUUUUUUUAACUCUAAUAAAUAUUUAACUCAUGUUUAACCCUAAUUAACUUAACGGUUAGUAACUGCAGGAAUAUUUUGAAAUAACGGAGAAAUAUAUGAGGGAUAUAUUGAAAAGAAAAAAAUAUGAAUAAAUGAGAUAUUUUUGAAAUUUUGAGAAGUAUAUAGAUAAUUAUCCCUAAAUUAAAUGUAUGAGAUCCUUCAACAACAAAGAAUUAUGAGAAUGAGCCCUUUGGCCUUAUUUUAUUUUAUUUUUUCUUAAUUAACACCUCUUAAUUUUAAUUUCAACGCAAUAGUACUGUUAGAUAAAGUUCACACUCAAUUUGUCAUAAUAAUACGGAUGGAAAUUAAGUGCUGCGAAAUUUUUUAGAGUGGAGGGCGUAGGCAAUUCAUUGAAAAAUGGUUAUUAUUAUUAAAUUAGUUCAUUAAUAAAAUAUAUAUAUUCAUAUAAAGAAUAAAAAAAACAAGUACUUUCAUAACUAAUUAUGAGAAGAUGAAGAUGAAGAUGAAAAUUUCGUAAUUUAAAAAAGCAAAAAAAAAAAAAGCAGAUACAUAAAUCGGUCUUUCAAACCUAUAUACAAGUUAGUAAAUAAAUCUAGCUCUUAAGCUCUCAAGGCCAAAACUGAAGAACAAGAUAUGACAAAAAUUAUUCGCAAAAUUAAGCAACCAUUCAAAACCCAUUCUCGAUCCUGCACUACCUCAAACCACAUCGAAACCCCUCCACAUCUAGAUCCAUCGAGUUUCAAUUUGAAGGAAUCCAUCGAGUUUCAAUUUGAAGGGUGUUUGUAGUACGUAAAAAAAUAAAUUAGACAAAAUAAACAAAUUGUUAUGAGAAUUAGCCAAAAUUUGACUCAGUACCUAAAUUUUGGCCAGAGAAUCAACCAAAAUUCAGCCAAAAGACGAGAGAAAACGUAAAUGAAAACCCUGAGGAUGUUAGAGGGAGAAAGAAAAGGGUGGAAAAGCAUAUGAAAAAGAGAAAAACUAUUGUGGGAUUAUAACGGAUUUUGAUAUGUUGAGUGUUUGAUUUUUUAUGAUCAACAUAUAUAAUAAGACUUUGAGGUAGUUUGUACGAAAGAUUGAAUUGCACUAAAUUGAUAAUAAUUUUUAUCUUUUCUCGUAUAAUGCAACGCAAUUUUAUCAUGUUAUCCUUGAAAAAUUAUCUAAUAGUUAAUACUUGAUCAAUGUUUCAGUAUUGCCAUGAAAAAGAGAAAAACUAUUGUGGGAUUAUAACGGAUUUUGAUAUGUUGAGUGUUUGAUUUUUUAUGAUCAACAUAUAUAAUAAGACUUUGAGGUAGUUUGUACGAAAGAUUGAAUUGCACUAAAUUGAUAAUAAUUUUUAUCUUUUCUCGUAUAAUGCAACGCAAUUUUAUCAUGUUAUCCUUGAAAAAUUAUCUAAUAGUUAAUACUUGAUCAAUGUUUCAGUAUUGCCAUGGAGGUAAAUUAAACUAAGUUAAAACUAUAAAGUAAUAAAAUUUUAAUUUUAAAUUUUUGAUACUAAUUAUUAAAAUUUUAUCCAGUUAUAUUAGGUUGGCUCACUAAUCAUUCCGAAUGGUUGUGUUUGGUGAUACGUCUAUGUAGUUGAUUGAUUGGUACUAUUCAUAGUACUCCUUUGUCGCCCUCCAAAUGUAGUUGAUUGAUUGGUACUAUUCGUAGUACUCCUUUGUCGCCCUCCAACAAAGAUGUGCGUUUCCACAUAUACUCUAGCACUUCAAUUAUUGACCAAUUUUGUAAUCACAAAUAUAUAUUUCCAAAAAUCAUAACAGUAAAAUAUAAAAGAAUUAAAAUGUCAAAAAUUAAUCAGAGUUAGAUAUUUAACCUAUGGUUAACUAAAUUUUUCUAACGUAUUCUAACGAUACAGACAUAUUUGAAAAUAUCAAAACUUUUACAGAAAAAAUAUAUAAAAAUUAAACUUUAUAGGAAUAUAUUUGUUAUUUAUUAUGUUUGCAAGAACCUGUAUGAAAUUAAUCCUAAAUUCUAUUAUAUCCAAGUAAAACAAUUGAAAUAAUAAAAUAAACAACUAAAGAAAUAUCGAUUAUAAAAAAAAAC